rnacentral:misc_RNA from 1 species
UUGAAAACAUUGUGAAGGAGGUUGAGCUGGCCCUUCUAGGGCAUGUGCUCGCCGACUUUCAAUUUUCAUCCACCUGUGAACCUCUUGUAGCAGAUUCUGGAAUGGGGAGGCGCUUGCGUUUCCCUUAGUACGGAGUCUACUAUGUUUUUAACACACACUUAAUGUAUGUUUAGAAUGUAUUUUAUUGGGGCUUAAUUGACCCUUUAAAACUAUA